UGUUGGAACAGAACAAAGUUCACAUCAUCAACAACAACAGAGGUGGCAUUUCUACCAAUGAGAGAGACAGGAAGAGAAGAAAGCUAAAGAGACGGAUAAUAAAGAAAGACAGACACAGAGAUAAUCACAACUUUUACCUCUGGACUGAACCGACCCUAUUUUCUCCCUGAGGAAUUAUUCUGUGGAUUAGUGAAACCUGAUGUGACACAACCACACCGACGGAAUUCUAAAACGUUUAAGUCUUGAAGUUAUGUGACUUAAGUACGGACGGACAACUGCCAGGACAACUAUGUAACGGCAGACAUCUGCAAGUAUUUUCCACCUACAUCCAUUCAAACCUGCCUUUUUGAGGAUCCUGAAAAACUUAUGGAGGUGCUGAGUGGCCCCUGGGCUGAUUUGGCUCUGCUUCUUCGACAGACCAUCACACAGACAGACAGAGAGACAGACAGCUUUCUUCCUCUCUGGCUGUUUGGCCUGCUGCUGUUCCUGUCUGUCUCUCUGCUGCUGCUGCAAUUGAUUAUCUACCUCAGCUGGAAACUCAGACAGGUUGAGGCUGAUCUGUCGUCGUUUCCGCAAGACAGAAGCGCCAUCUACCGGAAGAUGUGCGGAUGUACAAACCAGAGCAGGAGUGUUGGGUCGCACUCUCACACCUGACACACACACACACACACACACACACACACACACACACACACACACACACACACACACACACACACACACACACACACACACACACACACACACACACACACACACACACAAGCCUUAAGAAGAUGAAUGUUAAAGCCUGCAA